rnacentral:rRNA from 1 species
GACGAACGCUGGCGGCGUGCCUAAUACAUGCAAGUCGAACGCUUCUUCUUUCACCGGAGCUUGCUCCACCGAAAGAAGAAGAGUGGCGAACGGGUGAGUAACACGUGGGUAACCUACCCAUCAGAGGGGGAUAACACUUGGAAACAGGUGCUAAUACCGCAUAAUAGUCAACACCGCAUGGUGGAGAUUUGAAAGACGCUUUCGGGUGUCGCUGAUGGAUGGACCCGCGGUGCAUUAGCUAGUUGGUGAGGUAACGGCUCACCAAGGCGAUGAUGCAUAGCCGACCUGAGAGGGUGAUCGGCCACACUGGGACUGAGACACGGCCCAGACUCCUACGGGAGGCAGCAGUAGGGAAUCUUCGGCAAUGGACGGAAGUCUGACCGAGCAACGCCGCGUGAGUGAAGAAGGUUUUCGGAUCGUAAAACUCUGUUGUUAGAGAAGAACAAGUAGGAGAGUAACUGCUCUUGCCUUGACGGUAUCUAACCAGAAAGCCACGGCUAACUACGUGCCAGCCGCCGCCGUAAAAC